CGAAGGGCUAGCGUUGUUCGGAAUUACUGGGCGUAAAGCGCACGUAGGCGGAUAUUUAAGUCAGGGGUGAAAUCCCGGGCUCAACCCCGGAACUGCCUUUGAUACUGGGUAUCUUGAGUUCGGAAGAGGUAAGUGGAAUUGCGAGUGUAGAGGUGAAAUUCGUAGAUAUUCGCAGGAACACCAGUGGCGAAGGCGGCUUACUGGUCCGAUACUGACGCUGAGGUGCGAAAGCGUGGGGAGCAAACAGGAUU
rnacentral:rRNA from 1 species